rnacentral:misc_RNA from 1 species
GAUGAAGAACGUAGCAAAAUGCGAUAAGUAAUGUGAAUUGCAGAAUUCAGUGAAUCAUCGAAUCUUUGAACGCACAUUGCGCCCGUCAGUAUUCUGGCGGGCAUGCCUGUUCGAGCGUCAUUACGCCCCUCAAGUCCCCUGUGGACUUGGUGUUGGGGAUCGGCGAGGCUGGUUUUCCAGCACAGCCGUCCCUUAAAUUAAUUGGCGGUCUCGCCGUGGCCCUCCUCUGCGCAGUAGUAAAACACUCGCAACAGGAGCCCGGCGCGGUCCACUGCCGUAAAACCCCCCAACUUUUUAUAGUUGACCUCGAAUCAGGUAGGACUACCCGCUGAACUUAAGCAUAUCAAUAAGCGGAGGA